UACGUAGGGUCCGAGCGUUGUCCGGAAUUACUGGGCGUAAAGAGCUCGUAGGCGGUUUGUCGCGUCGGAUGUGAAAGCCCGGGGCUUAACCCCGGGUCUGCAUUCGAUACGGGCAGACUGGAGUGUGGUAGGGGAGAUCGGAAUUCCUGGUGUAGCGGUGAAAUGCGCAGAUAUCAGGAGGAACACCGGUGGCGAAGGCGGGUCUCUGGGCCGAUGACUGACGCUGAGGAGCGAAAGCGUGGGGAGCGAACAGG
rnacentral:rRNA from 1 species